GUGAGGGAAAUUGGAAUUUGGUAAUUGCAAGAAACUUAACUACUAUAAGCAUGUUUUGGAAAAAAAAAACUAUUGUGGGUAAGGAUGGAUUCAGAUCAAAUACAUAUAGUACUAUUUUACAUAGAUAUGAAUAUUAUUAAAUGUAAAUACAAAACAAAUGGUUCGAAUUCAGAUUCGCAUAUAUUCGGAUACCUACUUAGAUUUGGAGAUAGCAAGUACAAAUUACUUUAUCGUUGGUUUUUAAACAAAAUAAGUGUACAAAUAAUAUGAACACAUAACACAUGCUCAUAAAGAUAUCUCAUUGAAAAUAACAUAUUUAUCAUUAAAUAUUCCAAUAAAUAAAUAUUUCAAUAAUAAUAUAAAUAUUUUAAUAAUAACAUAUAUAAUUUAUUAAUUUAUAAAUAUAGUAAAGUACUCAAAGCUAAUAAGAUUAGCCAUAUAAAAAUUAAUAAAACUUAAUAUUUAUAUAUCAUUAAUAUUAAGAUUAAUACCAUUAGUCAUUAGCCAUAAGCCCAUAAGAUAGCUUUUAAAUAGUCCCAUGGAUGCAUCAUUACUAAUAUUAAAUUAAUAUCAUUGGUCAUUUAUCAUUUAGAUAACUUUAUAAUAGUUUGAAUUUUUUACAUUACUAGUAAUGUUAGAAUUUAUAUUGUUUGUCAUAAAUAAUUAGUCAUGGAGAUAAACUUUAUAUGGUUUCAUUGGUUGGAUAUUCCAUACUUUUGUCGAAUACAAAUAUAGAGUCAAAUAGAGAAAAAAAAUUGAAAAAUGGAUUGGGAUACAUCCAUUUUAGCAUCGAUAUUGAAAUUGGAUACGAAUACGAAGAUCCAUAUUGAAGUUUUAGCCUAUACGAAUAUGAAUAAUUAGGAUUUUUUUGACAUCCAUAUCCAUCCCUAGUUGUGGGUAGCCUAAUAUGACAAAGGGUUGUAACAAAUAAAAUAGUCUAUGAUAGUUUUUAGUAGCAAUUACUUGCGAUAUAUGGAGUUAUCACAUAUGGUCUUCGCUAAAAAACUUAUAUUGUUAUGGAGCAAUUGUAGAUGAAUUUUAUUAAAACCAAAUAUGUAAGUCGUAGACGAAUUCAAAAUAACCCAGUAACAUUGAUGGCCAUUAAAUUCUCAUACAUUAUGUAUUGUCUUUGAUGUCUUGAAAUGCUUUGGGAAAUUGUAUAUAUGUGAUGUAUUAUCAUCUUUAAUCAUUUUUUUGUGAGGACACCUUGAAUCAUUUUGUAGUAUUCAUGUCUACUUUAAGUGUAAAAUAAAAAUCCUUGUAAAUUCCAAAUUUUGCAAUAGAGAUAAAGUAUGCGUGC
rnacentral:lncRNA from 1 species